AUUGUUACGGGAUUUGAUUGAUCAGUUCAAGUGUUUUGUCUGAACUGGCCUUUUAAGUCCCGCAAUGUU
rnacentral:pre_miRNA from 1 species